UAGGGAAUCUUCGGCAAUGGACGAAAGUCUGACCGAGCAACGCCGCGCGAGUGAAGAAGGUUUUCGGAUCGUAAAACUCUGUUGUUAGAGAAGAACAAGGACGUUAGUAACUGAACGUCCCCUGACGGUAUCUAACCAGAAAGCCACGGCUAACUACGUGCCAGCAGCCGCGGUAAUACGUAGGUGGCAAGCGUUGUCCGGAUUUAGUGGGCGUAAAGCGAGCGCAGGCGGUUUCAUGAGUCUGAUGAGAAAGCCCGCGGCUCAACCGGGGAGGGGUAUUGGAAACUGGGAGAGUUGGGUGCAGGAGAGGAGAGUGGAAUUCCAUGUGUAGCGGUGAGCUGCGUAGAUAUGUGGAAGAACACCAGUGGCGAAGGGGGCUCUCUGGUCUGUAGCUGACGCUGAGGCUCGAAAGCGUGGGGAGCAAACAGG
rnacentral:rRNA from 1 species